rnacentral:rRNA from 1 species
UACGUAGGUGGCAAGCGUUGUCCGGAAUUAUUGGGCGUAAAGCGCGCGCAGGCGGUCCUUUAAGUCUGAUGUGAAAGCCCACGGCUCAACCGUGGAGGGUCAUUGGAAACUGAGGGACUUGAGUACAGAAGAGAAGAGUGGAAUUCCACGUGUAGCGGUGAAAUGCGUAGAUAUCAGGAAGAACACCCGUGGCGAAGGCGGCUCUCUGGUACGUGACUGACGCUGAGACGCGAAAGCGUGGGGAGCAAACAGG